CAGCUAGCUUGCUGCAGCGCGAGCUGUUUUUCAGCUGAAAGGCGCCCCCUGGGUCCUAAGCCUCCUAGGUCAUGCAAAAUCUAACUGAGCCAAGAAAGGAACUCAGCCAAGAGAUAUGCAGGUUGUGCUUAGCAGCCGAUCAGUUUGAGACCUGCGAGGCCGCAUCCCCAGGGUUUUUCAUCUCUUCUGUUUCCAUUUGUAACUGUAAGAGAAAGCAACAUUCACCUUUGUGUCACAGAUCAAAUGGUAACCCACUGAAGACCACCCCAUUACCUUGUGCUAGAACGGAACUGCCUCUGCCAUCUCUCUUUAACAGAAGCACAUCCUGAGAACCUGAGAGCUCAAGGUAAGUGGCUGAACACUGUCAACACAUACAGACAUCUAACUGUCUCCUUACUGUACAGCCAUAGCAAGAAACAAACGCAUGCAAUGCUGUCAAGGUAGAAGACACCACUGUUUACUACCCCAGUCCCAAAUAUCUGUGUACGUUAGCACAGCCUACCUAGCUCUUCUGUCAUUGUCUUUUUAAGUAAACAUUAUACAUUUGAACUGAAUUUGUAGCAAUGACAUACUGCUUUUAUCUGUUUUAUAUAUUCAGUGUAUUCAUAUCAUAAAUGAGGAAACCUUCAGAAGGUGAACUUGCUUAAAACACAAGACUCAGCUACUAAAGAAAGUCUAGCACACCCACCCCCACCACACCCAGGCCAGUACUUUACCAAUCCUCCUGGACACCCUGGGGGAUUCUGAUCUCUCCCAGUUUACAGCUGGGCCAGUGGAGGCCGUGAGAGGAUAUGAGACAGCUGGACUAAGAACCAGUCCCAGAGCCUGUGCUCUUACCAUCUCCAGAUUCAGGAGAGGGAGCUUCUGCUGAGUGAAAGGUGCUCAUACUUUAUAACACAGUGUACAGUACUUGGCAGCCAGGACUCCCAAAAGGGAAAGGUGAACAGAUUUGUGCAAGGAAAUUCCAGCAUGUAGGAAGUCAGAAAGCACCAUGGAUGCUUGCUCUCAUGGCCACAUGUGGGCCCCACGUCAGCCAGGGACCUCAUGACCCAGUGACAGGCCACAGUAGGAGAAAAAAACUCCUAACCUCUACACAGCCCAGCAGUCUCUAAACCAGAGCAGGGGCUGCAUAAACACCCCCGGGAAAGAGAGGUACACCUGUUGAUUUAUUUGGGGACAAGAGCUAGCUUUGCCAGGCAGCGACC
rnacentral:lncRNA from 1 species